CCUGUUCGAGCGUCAGUACAACACUCAAGCUCAGCUUGGUCUUGAGCCCCGCCGGCAACGGCAGGCUUUAAAAUCAGUGGCGGCGCGCCUGGCUCUCAGCGUAGUAAUACACCCCGCUGAAGAGUUCUAGCGGAUGCUAGCCAGCAACCCCAACUUCUAAGUUUGACCUCGGAUCAGGUAGGGAUACCCGCUGAACUUAA
rnacentral:misc_RNA from 1 species